GGACCAAGGAUGACCAGGCUGCAUCCAUCAUCUGUCACCAUACGGAUCACCAGAAUCGAGUCAGCUGGUCUGGGUAGCUAAGCUGGUGUGCCUCUUCCUCCCUCACCACUCCAUCAGCAUCCCUUUGGCAACAGCAAGUUCAGUGGAAGAGGAAGAACAUCUGAGAUGGAAGAAGUAUGUGAGUCUCCUGUCAAGAAUAUCUGUAUCUAUAUAAAACACUUCAUCCUCCCUAGACCAUUUCCGUGUCCCACUGAUGGUACAUGGACCACUGGU
rnacentral:sRNA from 1 species